CUCAGAACCCACCAGAAUCCUAUGUAUGAGUGUUAUAAACCAAAUGCUGUGUGAGCCCCUCUCAGAGACCAUUCAACUCAAUGGCCAACCUGAUCCCUGGUAUUUUGUGAUGAAGGCCCUGGAAAACGGGCUGGAUGAGGAGGUGAAAUUCUCAGUCAUCAAUGAGAAGCACCCGAAAGAUCCUUCAGUUUCCUAAGCCAUGAACGAAUUGAGGCUUUCAGAAAGGGAGUCUUCACAGAAACCGGAAAACAAAGAUCGACAUUUAACUAUAAAUACUCCAAGAGCCACUCUGUGAAUAACAUUCACUCGCCCGGAAAAAUAGCUCCAAAUGAAGCAAACACUCAAUGGAAUUACAUUAUGCAGAAGCCUGGCAGAGGUGCAGCGUGUUUGCAAGUUAAUAAGUUAUAAACAGUUCUAUAUUCUUUUCUGGGCCCUUUUCCAGGAGGAAUUAUUUAAUUUGGGAUUCAUUUUUGCAUUCAAAUAGAUGUUUAAUAAAGUAUCUUUUGAAA